rnacentral:tRNA from 1 species
GGCCCGUUGGUCAAGUGGUUAAGACACCGCCCUUUCACGGCGGUAACACGGGUUCGAAUCCCGUACGGGNNN